AUUGAACGCUGGCGGCGGGCCUAACACAUGCAAGUCGAACGCAUGGCGGACGGGUGAGUAAUGUCUGUGAAACUGCCUGAUGGAGGGGGCUGACUACUGGAAACGGUAGCUAAUACCGCAUAACAUCGUAUGUGCCCCGAUGGGAUUAGCUAGUAGGUGGGGUAAAGGCUCACCUAGGCGACGAUCCCUAGCUGGUCUGAGAGGAUGACCAGCCAAACUGGAACUGAGACACGGUCCAGACUCCUACGGGAGGCAGCAGUGGGGAAUAGUGCACAAUGGGCGCAAGCCUGAUGGAGCCAUGCCGCGUGUGUGAAGAAGGCUUUCGGGUUGUAAAGUACUUUCAGCGGGGAGGCGUUACCCACAGAGGAAGCACCGGCUAACUACGUGCCAGCAGCCGCGGUAAUAC
rnacentral:rRNA from 1 species